rnacentral:rRNA from 1 species
GGAUCCAGACUUUGAUCCUGGCUCAGGAUGAACGCUAGCUACAGGCUUAACACAUGCAAGUCGAGGGGAAACGACAUCGAAAGCUUGCUUUUGAUGGGCGUCGACCGGCGCACGGGUGAGUAACGCGUAUCCAACCUGCCCACCACUUGGGGAUAACCUUGCGAAAGUAAGACUAAUACCCAAUGACGUCUCUAGAAGACAUCUGAAGGAGAUUAAAGAUUUAUCGGUGAUGGAUGGGGAUGCGUCUGAUUAGCUUGUUGGCGGGGUAACGGCCCACCAAGGCGACGAUCAGUAGGGGUUCUGAGAGGAAGGUCCCCCACAUUGGAACUGAGACACGGUCCAAACUCCUACGGGAGGCAGCAGUGAGGAAUAUUGGUCAAUGGGCGAGAGCCUGAACCAGCCAAGUAGCGUGCAGGAUGACGGCCCUAUGGGUUGUAAACUGCUUUUAUAAGGGAAUAAAGUGAGUCUCGUGAGACUUUUUGCAUGUACCUUAUGAAUAAGGACCGGCUAAUUCCGUGCCAGCAGCCGCGGUAAUACGGAAGGUCCGGGCGUUAUCCGGAUUUAUUGGGUUUAAAGGGAGCGUAGGCCGGAGAUUAAGCGUGUUGUGAAAUGUAGAUGCUCAACAUCUGAACUGCAGCGCGAACUGGUUUCCUUGAGUACGCACAAAGUGGGCGGAAUUCGUGGUGUAGCGGUGAAAUGCUUAGAUAUCACGAAGAACUCCGAUUGCGAAGGCAGCUCACUGGAGCGCAACUGACGCUGAAGCUCGAAAGUGCGGGUAUCGAACAGGAUUAGAUACCCUGGUAGUCCGCACGGUAAACGAUGGAUGCCCGCUGUUGGUCUGAAUAGGUCAGCGGCCAAGCGAAAGCAUUAAGCAUCCCACCUGGGGAGUACGCCGGCAACGGUGCAACUCAAAGGAAUUGACGG